GACGAACGCUGGCGGCGUGCUUAACACAUGCAAGUCGAACGGAAAGGCCUGCUUUCCCUUGUGGAUUGCGGGUACUCGAGUGGCGAACGGGUGAGUAACACGUGAGUGAUCUGCCCCCAACUUGGGUAUAAGCCUGGGAAACUGGGUCUAAUUCCCGAUAGGACUGCAGUGUGGUGCCUGUGGUGGAAAACGAUUUUCUAGUGGUUGGGGAUGAGCUCGCGGCCUAUCAGCUUGUUGGUGGGGUAAUGGCCUACCAAGGCGGCGACGGGUAGCCGGCCUGAGAGGGUGGGCGGCCACAUUGGGACUGAGAUACGGCCAAGACUACUACGGGAGGCAGCAGUGGGGAAUAUUGCACAAUGGACGGAAGCCUGAUGCAGCGACGCCGAGUGGGGGAUGACGGCCUUCGGGUUGUAAACUCCUUUCGACCGCGAGGAAGCCACCUGGUUGGAAGGGUGGUGACGGUAGUGGUAGAAGAAGCACCGGCUAACUACGUG
rnacentral:rRNA from 1 species